AUAGUCAAGAAGAAAAAGAAGAAGAAGGCUCCUGUGACUAAAUCUGUGGGGAAGGCAAUUGAAGCGCCUUCUAUAAAACAAUCUACAGAUGAGCCAGUGAAAUCUGGGCAAAGCCCACAAAUAAUUGCAAUUCCUGAAGAGAAAAUAGUCAAGAAGAAAAAGAAGAAGACGACUCCUGUGACUAAAUCUGUGGGGAAGGCAAUUGAAGUGCCUUCCAUAAAACAAGCUACAGAUGAGCCAGUGAAAUCUGCGCAAAGCCCACAAAUACUAGCAAUUCCUAAAGGG